rnacentral:tRNA from 1 species
ACGGAGGUGGCUCGACAAGUAAGGCGCUGGAUUCCAAACCCAGUUCAUGUGGGAGCAUUACCCACCCUCCGUGCCA